CGGCAUGCUAUAUUAUCAUGGCAUUUGAUGGCUCACCUGGUCUUGCUCCACAAUCGGUAAAUUGUAUUGCACCAUCAGUAUUAUGAAAAUACAUCUUCUGUAGAAAUUUACAUACCUUG